rnacentral:rRNA from 1 species
GAUGAACGCUGACAGAAUGCUUAACACAUGCAAGUCGAUGGGGAAGUGGUGCUUGCACCAUGGUAACCAUGGCGGACGGGUGAGUAACGCGUAAGGAACUUGCCUGCGGGACUGGGAUAACAGCAGGAAACUGCUGAUAAUACCGGAUAAGGUCAUUAAGCUGCAUAGCUUAGUGAUGAAAGGAGACGCCUGCGGAGAGCCUUGCGUCCUAUUAGCUAGUUGGAGGGGUAACGGCCCACCAAGGCGAAGAUAGGUAGCCGGCCUGAGAGGGUGGACGGCCACAAGGGGACUGAGAUACGGCCAUUACUCCUACGGGAGGCAGCAGUGGGGAAUAUUGGACAAUGGGGGCAACCCUGAUCCAGCAAUUCUGUGUGCACGAAGACGGUUUUCGGAGUGUAAAGUGCUUUCAGCAGGGAAGAAGGAAGUGACGGUACCUGCAGAAGAAGCGACGGCUAAAUACGUG